GACGGAGGAUGCAAGCGUUAUCCGGAAUGAUUGGGCGUAAAGCGUCUGCAGGUGGCAGUUCAAGUCUGCUGUCAAAGACCGGGGCUUAACUUCGGAAAGGCAGUGGAAACUGAACAGCUAGAGUAUGGUAGAGGUUGGUGGAACAGCAAGUGUAGAGGUGAAAUUCGUAGAUAUUUGCUAGAACACCAGUGGCGAAGGCGGCCAACUGGACCAUAACUGACGCUGAGGUGCGAAAGCGUGGGGAGCAAACAGG
rnacentral:rRNA from 1 species